rnacentral:tRNA from 3 species
GCGGUAAUAGUACAGCUUGGUUAGUACAUAGGCUUGCCAAGUCUAGGACCCGGGUUCAAAUCCCGGUUACCGCACCA